CCUACGGGGGGCAGCAGUGAGGAAUAUUGGUCAAUGGACGAGAGUCUGAACCAGCCAAGUAGCGUGAAGGAUGACUGCCCUAUGGGUUGUAAACUUCUUUUAUAUGGGAAUAAAAUGUUCCACGUGUGGGAUUUUGUAUGUACCAUAUGACUAAGGAUCGGCUAACUCCGUGCCAGCAGCCGCGGUAAUACGGAGGAUCCGAGCGUUAUCCGGAUUUAUUGGGUUUAAAGGGAGCGUAGGUGGAUUGUUAAGUCAGUUGUGAAAGUUUGCGGGUCAACCGUAAAAUUGCAGUUGAAACUGGCAGGCUUGAGUACAGUAGAGGUGGGCGGAAUUCGUGGUGUAGCGGUGAAAUGCUUAGAUAUCACGAAGAACUCCGAUUGCGAAGGCAGCUCACUGGACUGCAACUGACACUGAGGCUCGAAAGUGUGGGUAUCAAACAGGAUUAGAUACCCCAGUAGUC
rnacentral:rRNA from 1 species